rnacentral:tRNA from 1 species
CCUGAUGGCUUAGAUGGUAAAGCAUCUGCCUACAAUGCAGGAGACCGGGAUUCAAUCCCUGGGUCAGGA